UACGAAGGGGGCUAGCGUUGCUCGGAAUUACUGGGCGUAAAGCGCACGUAGGCGGAUUGUUAAGUCGGAUGUGAAAUCCCCAGGCUUAACCUGGGAACUGCAUCCGAUACUGGAUGGCUUGAAUCCGGGAGGGGGAUGCAGAAUUCCAGGUGUAGCGGUGAAAUGCGUAGAUAUCUGGAGGAAUACCGGUGGCGAAGGCGGCAUCCUGGACCGGCAUUGACGCUGAGUGAGCGAAAGCCAGGGGAGCAAACGGG
rnacentral:rRNA from 1 species